rfam:Lactobacillus coryniformis subsp. coryniformis CECT 5711 COR000015, whole genome shotgun sequence.
AAAAUCGGAAAAGCGCCUGGACCAUUUUUGUGGUUGACGAGGAUGGAGUCUAUCGAUAAUCGGCGGGUGACUCCAGGGUCUGCACUCUACAGAGCGACUGUUAAAAACAAGUGUAAGCUUGCAACAGAGCAGCGUUCACGCAGUUGG